GUAGGCAAAUCCGCUUUGAUAAUGCUGGGAUGUGAUGGGGAGCGAAAUUUAGUAGCGAAGUAGCUGAUUUCACACUGUCAAGAAAAGUCUCUAUCGAGGUUAAAGGUACCCGUACCGCAAACCGACACAGGUGGGUGAGGAGAGUAUCCUAAGGCCAGCGAGAGAACUGUUGUUAAGGAACUCGGCAAAAUGACCCCGUAACUUAGGGAUAAGGGGUGCCACCAUCAGGUGGCCGCAGAGAAUAGGCCCAAGCGACUGUUUACCAAAAACAUAGGUUUCUGCUAAGUCGCAAGACGAUGUAUAGGAGCUGACGCCUGCCCGGUGCUGGAAGGUUAAGGGGAUCUGUUAGAGCAAUCGAAGCAGUGAACUUAAGCCCCAGUAAACGGCGGCCGUAACUAUAACGGUCCUAAGGUAGCGAAAUUCCUUGUCGGGUAAGUUCCGACCCGCACGAAAGGCGUAACGAUUUGGGCACUGUCUCAACAACAGACUCGGUGAAAUUGUAAUUCCGGUGAAGAUGCCGGAUACCUGCGACAGGACGGAAAGACCCCAUGGAGCUUUACUGUAGCUUGACAUUGGGUCUUGGUACUACAUGUACAGGAUAGGUGGGAGGCUUUGAAACCAGGACGCCAGUUUUGGCGGAGCCAUCCUUGGGAUACCACCCUUGUAGUACUGGGACUCUAACCAUAGGCCAUGAAUCUGGUCUUGGGACACUGUCAGGUGGGCAGUUUGACUGGGGCGGUCGCCUCCCAAAAGGUAACGGAGGCGCUCAAAGGUUCUCUCAGUACGGUCGGAAAUCGUACGUAGAGUGUAAAGGCAAAAGAGAGCUUGAUUGCAAGACAUACAGGUCGAGCAAGGAUGAAAAUCGGACUUAGUGAUCCGGUGGUUCUGCGUGGAAGGGCCAUCGCUCAACGGAUAAAAGCUACCCUGGGGAUAACAGGCUUAUCUCCCCCAAGAGUCCACAUCGACGGGGAGGUUUGGCACCUCGAUGUCGGCUCAUCACAUCCUGGGGCUGUAGUAGGUCCCAAGGGUUGGGCUGUUCGCCCAUUAAAGUGGUACGCGAGCUGGGUUCAGAACGUCGUGAGACAGUUCGGUCCCUAUCCGUCGCAGGCGUAGGAAAUUUGAGAAGACCUGUCCUUAGUACGAGAGGACCGGGAUGGACG
rnacentral:rRNA from 1 species